rnacentral:rRNA from 1 species
UACGUAGGGUGCGAGCGUUGUCCGGAAUUAUUGGGCGUAAAGAGCUCGUAGGCGGUCUGUCGCGUCUGCUGUGAAAUCCCGAGGCUCAACCUCGGGCUUGCAGUGGGUACGGGCAGGCUAGAGUGCGGUAGGGGAGAAUGGAACUCCUGGUGUAGCGGUGGAAUGCGCAGAUAUCAGGAAGAACACCGAUGGCGAAGGCAGUUCUCUGGGCCGUAACUGACGCUGAGGCACGAAAGCGUGGGGAGCAAACAGG